rnacentral:rRNA from 1 species
AGGAUCAACGCUGGCGGCGUGCCUAAUGCAUGCAAGUCGAACGGGGGUUCCUUCGGGAACCUUACGUGGCGGACGGGUGAGGAACACGUGGCCAAUCUGCCCACUGGCAGGGGGUAGCCGGCGGAAACGCCGGGUAAUUCCGUAUGAGCUCAGGGUCCGAGUGGGGAUGGCUGAGGAAAGGGUCUUCGGACUCGCCGGUGGAGGAGGCUGCGGCCGAUUAGCUAGUUGGUGGGGUAACGGCCUACCAAGGCGAUGAUCGGUAGCUGGUCUGAGAGGAUGAUCAGCCACACGGGGACUGAGACACGGCCCCGACUCCUACGGGAGGCAGGCAGCAAGGAAUUUCCGCAAUGGGCGAAAGCCUGACGGAGCAACGCCGCGUGCGGGAUGACGCUUUUCGGAGUGUAAACCGCUGUCGUGGGACGAAGCACUGACGCACCGAGGAGAAGGCCCGCUAACUACGUGCCAGCAGCCGC